GACGAACGCUGGCGGCGUGCCUAAUACAUGCAAGUCGAACGCAGUGGGGACGGGUGAGUAACACGUGCGUAACCUCCCCUCAGAGGGCAGAACACUUGGAUACAGGUGCUAAACCGAUACUGAUGGAUGAACUCGCGGUGCAUUAGCUAGUUGGUGAGGUAACGGCCAACCAAGUCCACGAUGCAUACCUGACCUGAGAGGGUGAUCAGCCACACUGGAACUGAGACACGGCCCAGACUCCUACGGGAGGCAGCAGUAGGGAAUCUUCGGCAAUGGACGAAAGUCUGACCGAGCAACGCCGCGUGAGUGAAGAAGGUUUGCGGAUCGUAAAGCACUGUUAGUAGGGAAGCGGUAUCUAACCAGAAAGCCACGGCUAACUACGUGCCAGCAGCCGCGGUAAUAC
rnacentral:rRNA from 1 species